rnacentral:tRNA from 1 species
GGGGAUUUAGCUCAGUGGUAGAGUGCUUGCCUAGCACGUGCAAGGCCCUGGGUUCAGUCCCCA